UACGAAGGGGGCUAGCGUUGUUCGGAAUUACUGGGCGUAAAGCGCACGUAGGCGGACUUUUAAGUCAGGGGUGAAAUCCCAGAGCUCAACUCUGGAACUGCCUUUGAUACUGGGUGUCUUGAGUAUGGAAGAGGUGAGUGGAAUUCCGAGUGUAGAGGUGAAAUUCGUAGAUAUUCGGAGGAACACCAGUGGCGAAGGCGGCUCACUGGUCCAUUACUGACGCUGAGGUGCGAAAGCGUGGGGAGCGAACAGG
rnacentral:rRNA from 1 species